CAGAGGGAGGCCUUUGCUGUGUCAAUGUAUAUGUCCAAUGAUUUACAUUCUCUGCACUUUUUGUUAUUAGAACCGGUAUUACAAGCACUUUGCUUGUCUGCCCUUGUCUGUUUCCCUUGGAGGAUACUGGAAAAGUAAAAUUAAAAUUAUGAAUUCCAUUUUCUCUCAAAUGUCAUGUGGCUUUAUAGUUGAUAGUCCAGUUGAGCUGUGAGGGCUAUGAAGACAGUACUUCUCUCUGCCAUUGUCUCAAACUUCCUGCAGGCUCCAGAGGACAAAGUGGUAUUUGAUGCUCAGAAGAAUGGCUGUAUUGAGUGGGACAAAGUCUGCCUCGCUCAGUAUUCUGUCUGAGGAUGACCAGUAUAAGGAACAGGAGAAGUAUAGAGAGCCUUUCCAGCAGUUUGCUUGGGAAUUUCCUGAGGAGAUCUUCAUUUGUAUUUGAAUACUGCUUGGCAAUUACAACCAAUCUUCAUUUAAAAAUGUGAAACAUGAAUGUUGUGGGCUGUAAAUAUAUGAAGUAGUGCGCAUGUCAGUAACUGCAGGGAGGGCAGGAUUGGCAGGGGGCUGAAGUAAAAGCUUUUUUUCUUUCCUGUUAGAAGCCGAUGUUGCUUUCAACUCUCACAUUAGUGAAAACAGAGGUAAGUGGAGUCCAGUUAAGGCCCCAGCGACAGGUCAGCUUUACUGCUUAAUUGAGCUAUGUUGGAGGUGAAAAUCUGAAGUACUGACGUGUGCUUUGGAGUACCCCUGAGCUGCGCUUCAUACUUAAGGCUUCUCACCAGACCAAUAACUUACUUUUUUUUUCCCCUGUGAUUGGAGUUCUCAGUAACUGAAGGAACACUGUCCCAGCAAUGAUGGUACUAGUUUUAUGGUUGCAAGUGAGGAAUGAUUAAAAUCUGCCCCAAAAUAAAAUUCAGUUAUUUUAUAUAUAUGGGAAGAAGCUAGAAAGAAGUGAGUGGACUGAAAUAAAAGAAACGCUUACACCUUAUUUUGGAGUUGGUAAGUUGAUUGAAACGUACUCUUAAAUCAUCUUAAGAUCAUUGAAGAGGAAGAAUAUACAGCUACCAUUAAAUUGGUGUACUUACAUUGACAAUUUUGCCUAUUUAGGCAAUAACUUGCCCUAGCAUUAGUUGCUUGUUUUCAGUCAGAAUGAGGGAUGUCGCAGAUACCAGAGUCCUGAAAGAAACUAGAGACUGUGUGUUGUGGUUCAACCUGAGCUGAAAAUGAAUUACCACACAGCUGCUUGCUCACUCCCCCUUUGGUGGUGUGGGAGGAGAAUUGGAAAAAAAUGUAAAAGCCUGUGGGUUGAUAUAAGAGCAGUUUAAUAAUUGAAAUGAAAUACAAUAAUUAUAAUGCAAAUGGAGAUAAUAAAAAAGAAAUAAAACCUAAGACAGACAAGUGAUGCACAAUACUAUCACUGGCAGCCACCUGCUGACUGAUGCCCAGCCCGUUCCAGAGCAGACAUUGGUACUUCCCAACCAACUCCCCCCAGUUUAUAUACUGAGCAUCAUGUUCCAAACAGUUCAGAGUAUUACUAUUCAUUCCCUGGUAUAUCUUAGAGUAAAUAUUUUGUGAAUAAAGUUGGGUUAUCUUUUGGGUUCUGAAAAUUUUAUUAAGCUACCUAUUACCUAUUGCAAAAAAAAAAAGAUGUUUGGUUUGUGGGAAUUAAUGCUCCCCCUUCUUUGUGUUUUACGGAUUAUAAACUGCAUAAUAUAAAACAAGUAAGUUUAACAGUAGGAACAAGAGUUACUUUCAGAACAUCUUAAAAUAGUAUUUUAUAAACUAUCACAGUGCUGAGAAUGUUCCCCCCCAAAAAAAAUUAAGGGGGGGAAGGAUGGGGAAGGACAGUGUCUGGGUUUUUGAAAACAUGUUUUUGAAGAAGCACUCUUACAGUUGCCAGAAUUGGCUUGUUUUCACUUAUGUGUACUUGAACUUAACAAGUUCUGUUGCUAAUGAAAAGUCAUUCAGCAUAGUUUCUGCUAAUUUGAUGUACAGGCUGUAAUGCUGCUAGAAACCUUUUUUUCCAGGUAAAGGGAACUUUAUAUGAUGAUCCUUUGGCAGGGUUGACUGCAAGGUGUUUUGUUGUGGUUUCGCCUUUUAUUAACUGCUAUGGCAAGACGACUGGAAAUUAUGUGGAAGGGAAGUAUUUCUUUCUCCACUUACAUGUUGAUACUGGGCUCUUUGUGCUGGAAAGUUCCAGGCAAUAAAGUAGGAGUUAGGAAAAUGUGGAAGGUAAGUAUUAUUUUAAGUAAAGAUCUUUCCUACUCAACGAUUAACAUAAAAAUCAACUGCACUUCUUUGCAUAGUAUUCUCGGAAGAACCAUAACCAUAUUUCUUGUUCAGAAAUAUAUCAAUUCUGCAAAAAUAGGCUCUGUUGCACUUGUUGCUCUUCUCCUUGACUAUUUUGAAGGCUGGCUAGGAAACAGGCCCCUCAUUUCUGCCUUUUUAAUGAAUUUGAAUGUCUGUGAAGAUGAUAGCCUUUUCUAUAGCAGCAACAAAAAGAAGGAUCAGCAGAACUGGCAUCCAGCCUUGGAAGCAAAACAUUCUGAGCUUCUGCUAGAGCUUCCAAUAGAAAUAUGAUGAAGAGGUUUUAAAAAAUUCCUGAGCUGUCUUUAUUUCAUAUAUAAUCUAACCCUACCUCUCAAAUGCAGUCCUAAAGAUAAAUAACACAGAAAAUGUUCUCUCUUGGGCCAAGCUGAGACAAUCUCCUGUUGUACUGCCAUUUAACCUUAAUUUGAAUUUAGCAAUCUUUGCUGGGGAGCAUAGACUGAUUGCUUGCUGAGAAAUAUGACUAGCAAUUGGGCAGUCAGAGCCUGAGGGAAAAUGCUGAUGUGUUACCAGCACUGUUGCUGUCAGCCUGAGGCUGGAAGAACCCACCUGUGUUACCGUGGCUGAGUUGUUGAAAGCAGGUGAACUGCUAAGCUGGGAAUGUCUUGUGUUUGUUUUCGAAAGGUAUUUGCAUCAACUGUGCCUAGCCUACAAAAGUUUAUACCUCAAGCACCCUCCUUUCUCAUUUCUGUUCUAAUUCUUUUUUUUCUUUUUUUCCCACUGUGUGCUUAGACUGGAGUUCAUAGCACUGUAGGCCAGAAGAUUCUUCUGCUUGUUGGUUAUUGCCUCGUUUGGCCACAGCAGAUCUGAAACUGGUUAACAGUUUUCAUGCAUCAUUGAAUUUACUAACCAGGACUGAUCUUUUAAUAUAAGUUUAAAGUGGUUAAAAAUAAAUGUUGGCACUAAAUUACAAAGAUUUACCUUUUAGUGUACAUGAGAAGAUCUCUUGAGUAAGAAUCGAUUGAUUGAUUGAUUGAUUUAGUUUUCUUGGGAGACACUUAAGCUAUUGUUGUGGCAGUAAAAUCUAAAAGCUCUUGAACUGGAAGAGUUGAAAGAAUUUAGGAACUCCUGCAGUUAAGUAUCAUCAGUGAUUUUAACAAUUUUUUAAUUGAUAUUUAUAUUGAUCCUGCUGGAACUAAGAAUUGAUGUAUUGGCAGUAAAAAUAUCCUCACACAGUUGCAUUGACUUCUCUUACUGCUCUGUAAGCGCCUCCAAACAUUGCUAUCCAUAGGUACAUAACUCCAGUUGGAAAACACAAGAGCUACUAGAAGUGUUUUGGUUAACUUGAAUGUGGCAUCAAUAAACAAGUUCACAGGUUUAUCAGCUGUGUAUUUAACUGCAUCAGUCAUAAAGUGAUCAUUUUUUUAAUUGACCCUGAUUUAAGUUUUCAAAGUGAAACUUCGCUGUAAUCAUUCUUACUUGCUGUUACUUUUAAGAUCUAAACUUUAAAAAAGAAAAACCAACCCUGUAUAUUUUUACAAGAUCAAAGAGACACUUCCAAGUUUAUUUUCUGAAGGCAGAUUGAAAGCAUAAUGUUCUUCAUAUGUCUCCUGCAGAUCACAGAAUAGCAAUUUAUUCUUUUUUCUAGUGCCCAGUUGCUAGGUAAAAUUAAAACUUUGCUUCCCUAAAGAACUAAAUUAUUGCUUCUAGUAGCAUAAUGCAGCUGUAUUAGUUGCACUGUAUUAACUUACGAAUUUGUUCCGGUUUCAGAACAGGUUAUGCUGCCUGUACUGCCCCGUGCAAAACAACAGAGAUACCUGGCUACUGCUACGCAAACUUAUACACGUGUGCUGAAACUGUGUGUUAGCUUAAGAUCGAAUUCUGGUAUAUCUCAAGGCCAAUGUAAAAGUAUAGAGUAAAUCUUCUGAAAGAAGGCUAUUAAAAAGCAGCAAGUAGAGCCUGAGUAGCAGUAGUUCCUCCUCCUUGUGCCCUAGUCUGGAGUUUGUGCUCUAAAUAAGAACUCCCUUAGUGCAGCAUACUCCAGGCAUAUUAAAAAAAAAAAAAAAAAAAAAAAAAAGGAAAAUAGAAAAAGCAGUCAUAUACAGAAGGUUGUAUUGUCUGCUCUUGGGAUCUGCAGAAAUGCUGCAUUUAUGUAGUCACUUCCUCCUUGUACCUGGCAAGGACUGUAAGGGGUGGGAGGGUGGAGAUUGUUCCAUUCUUACAAAGACCUUGAAGACAGAAGGUUAUUUGGGCUCACCCAUGCUUGAAAGGAUUUUAGAUUGUUAGUUACAUGUUAAGCAGCCUGGAACACUUAUUCUGGAAGCUGUGUAUUGCAACUGCUGCAUCAGGCACUUUCCCUCCUGAGUAAUCAGCAAUGUCAUUACGAGUCAACUAAACAGUCCUGGGACAUGAGCUCAAUCACUGGAAACAGGUCAUCUGUGCCACUGAGGGUUAACGCAGUCUGACAACUGAAGCCUGGGCCAGCUAGCACACUCCCACAUAUAAUACUUGGGCAUGGGUUAGAGGUUAAGGUGGAUGAGAGUUUAGCUGUGGGAAUGCAAGCUGCAGAGUCCAUGUUUGCCUUACGGCUGGAGAAGAGCCUGUAACCUCUCCCAUCUACAGUAAGGCUGUGUGGCCAGUGCCUGUGCUCUCUGGUGCGCUGGGCUCUCCUGGGAGAGAGGUCCAGCCCUCAGGGACAAUAUUCUGUGACCUAGUGACAUCGUGUCUGCCUUUGGAGAUGGGCUUAGUGCACAAAGGAACUCACAUGGGGUUAACUGGAUUUGAAGGGUCCCCCUUCUUUUGUUCCACCCUUCAGCUGGCUUUGUGAGUGUGCUGGAAUCCCAAUGGCUGCUAGUCAGCACAGGCAUGUAAGGGCAGGGCUGGAUGGGUGUCCGGUGCGGAGGAAGAUCUAAAUAGAGCAGGAAGGUCUGUAUUGACACUUCAUUUGUGGCUCUGCGCUGCUCUCAAGUGCAGCUUCAGCACUUGGCUCUCUCGCACUGCGCAAGUGGACAGGACAGCACUACUGUCCUGAGAUGACUUUGAGAUAUUCUGGAAGACGGAUACUGAUGAGGAACAUGCUCUGCAGUUCUCCUGCAUGAGUCCUUCUCAUAAGGCAGAACAUAGUAGGAUAUGGAGGAAUCUGUUUCCUCCAGCCCUUCCAUGCUAAUUUGAUGAAAACUUAGGGGAGCAACAACUCUUUGGUCACUUCUUUGCUGAAUAUCUUGUCUCCUCUUUUCAUGGAGCUUUGCCAGGCACUGACCUAAUGGUAACACUCCUCUAUGUAACAGUUUAAAGCAUCAGAUGCUCAGGGGAACCCACUUUUUGGCAUGGAAAAGGCAGUAGUAG